UACGUAGGGGGCAAGCGUUGUCCGGAUUUAUUGGGCGUAAAGAGCGUGUAGGCGGCUUUACAGGUCCGUUGUGAAAACUCGAGGCUCAACCCUGGAAUGCCGGUGGAAACUGUACGAGCUAGAGUCCGGAAGAGGCGAGUGGAAUUCCUGGUGGUAGCGGUGAAAUGCGCAGAUAAUCAGGAGGAACACCAAUGGCGAAGGCAGCUCGCUGGGACGUGAACUGACGCUGAGACGCGAAAGCGUGGGGAGCAAACAGG
rnacentral:rRNA from 1 species